CAUUUCCUAUUAUCUAGUUCUUAACUCUGGGGCAUCAGCACUUCCAGGGUUUAGUACUGAGAUCCUGCUACUCUCCUCUGUUGGCUUUAAAGGUGCUGCUGCCACCAUCCCCACCAUGCUGCACUAAAUCCAUCCCUGCCAGGAAAUGACUACAAAUUAGGGCUGUUCUCAUAUUGCCAACUGAGCCUAACUAAAAUGGGAACAGGGUUGUUUUUUCCUCAAAGAGAAAAUGGGUUUUGAGAAAGGCAUAACUCAGAUGUUGUUGGUCUGAUUCUUACUUUUCUCCUGCUGCUCCUCCUCCUUCUCACACAGAUCCAGACCCAUUAACUAGACCUUUUGGUAGGAAAGCCAUGCUGAACCCAGGAUUUGCCUGCUCCAGCCUUGCUCUACAUUUGGAUAGCCAAGGGCUCCUCAGCUGCUGGGGCUGCACUCUGGGACACAGACCAUGGAAGAGAUCCAGCCUGGCCAAUGCACCAUCUGUGGGACUUGUGAACAUGAAGUGAACAUGAAGUAGGAGAGCUGGAUCCGUCGCCUGCUCCAAGAGCUGAGCCAGAGGUGCUGUUUCCCAGCAUCUGUAAGCGUGGAGCUGUCAGCCAGGCCACCCGGUGUCCUCCUGCCCCAUUAAAGUGCAGGGAGUUUCUGAUGCCUCCUUUUGGCACGGAGGAAUGAUGUCAACCCCUCCCCAGGCCAGAGCCAGCACCCAAAUGAGGAGUUUGAAAUGCUGAGUGUUACAAAGGUCUCUUAGAAGUCCAGAAUUCCCUUCUGCUGCCUUCAGUGGGAAUUUUGCCAGGGCCCAGAAGAAAAUGUCCAGCUCCAUCACAGCACAUUGCUCCUUUUGGCUUCCUAAAAUCUUCAGCCUGAUGUGGAAGGCUUUGUCCAAGGCACUUCUGUGGUAACUAAUGAUAUCUAGGAGCUAUGGGCUACCAAACACCCUUGACUUUGUUCGUGGGAUGGUUAAUCAACAAGUCUGUCACAAUGAUGGAUUCCUCCUGAACUGUUGCUUAAUUAGCUUGGUUGGAGGUAUAAAUCAAGUGGAAUACCAAUUCUUCCAAUGCCACAGACAGGCAGCCAUGCUCAGCUUGACAGCAGUGAGUUAUUACUCUGCCCCAGUGCAGGAUCAGCCUGCAGGCACCAGCCUGCAAAGCCAGAGGGGCCAUGGGUUGUUCCCUGAGAGUGCUGGUGUGCACAGAGCCACACACAGCUGGGUGAAGGGCAACUGGGAUGGAGCUGGAGGUGGGCUCUGCAGGGGCUCUGUGCCUGGGACACUCCCCAGAGCAUCACCCCCAGCAGCUGCUCACGGGGAGACAGCUCAUGGAUAG
rnacentral:lncRNA from 1 species